AUUGAACGCUGGCGGCAGGCCUAACACAUGCAAGUCGAACGGUAACAGGAAACAGCUUGCUGUUUCGCUGACGAGUGGCGGACGGGUGAGUAAUGUCUGGGAAACUGCCUGAUGGAGGGGGAUAACUACUGGAAACGGUAGCUAAUACCGCAUAACGUCGCAAGACCAAAGAGGGGGACCUUCGGGCCUCUUGCCAUCGGAUGUGCCCAGAUGGGAUUAGCUAGUAGGUGGGGUAACGGCUCACCUAGGCGACGAUCCCUAGCUGGUCUGAGAGGAUGACCAGCCACACUGGAACUGAGACACGGUCCAGACUCCUACGGUAGGCAGCAGUGGGGAAUAUUGCACAAUGGGCGCAAGCCUGAUGCAGCCAUGCCGCGUGUAUGAAGAAGGCCUUCGGGUUGUAAAGUACUUUCAGCGGGGAGGAAGGGAGUAAAGUUAAUACCUUUACUCAUUGACGUUACCCGCAGAAGAAGCACCGGCUAACUCCGUG
rnacentral:rRNA from 1 species